UACGGAAGGCAGCAGUGGGGAAUAUUGCACAAUGGGCGAAAGCCUGAUGCAGCUAUGCCGCGUGUAUGAAGAAGGCCUUAGGGUUGUAAAGUACUUUCAUCGGGGAGGAAAAACAAAACUAAUAAUUUUAUUUCUUGACGUUACCCGAAAAAGAAGCACCGGCUAACUCCGUGCCAGCAGCCGCGGUAAUACGGAGGGUGCUAGCGUUAAUCAGAAUUACUGGGCGUAAAGAGCACGUAGGUGGUUUUUUUAAAGUCAGAUGUGAAAUCCCUGGGCUUAAACCUAGGAACUGCAUUUUGAAACUGAAAUACUAGAGUAUCGUAGAGGGAGGUAGAAUUCUAGGUGUAGCGGUGAAAUGCGUAGAUAUCUGGAGGAAUACCUGUGGCGAAAGCGGCCUCCUAAACGAAUACUGACACUGAGGUGCGAAAGCGUGGGGAGCAAACAGGGAUUAGAUACC
rnacentral:rRNA from 1 species